rnacentral:rRNA from 1 species
CUUGAAACACGGACCAAGGAGUUUAUUGUGUACGCAAGUCAUUGGGUGAUACAAAACCUAAAGGCGAAAUGAAAGUAAAGAGUAGUAAGAUAGAGGAAGAAAUUUAUUUUUCAUCCUUGAUUCUUGCUCUCAAGGGAAGAUGGUUAUCUUAUUUUAAAUUAUAUUAUUUAAGAUGUAGAUUCCCGCAUUCCCAGGGCGCUUGUUUCUCGCUUUGCGAGUUUAUGCGCACCUAGAGCGUACACGAUGAUACCCGAAAGAUGGUGAACUAUGCCUGGCCAGGACGAAGCCAGGGGAAACCCUGGUGGAGGUCCGCAGCGAUUCUGACGUGCAAAUCGAUCGUCAGAGCUGGGUAUAGGGGCGAAAGACCAAUCGAACCAUCUAGUAGCUGGUUCCCUCUGAAGUUUCUCUCAGGAUA